rnacentral:rRNA from 1 species
UACGGGGGGGGCAAGCGUUGUUCGGAAUUACUGGGCGUAAAGGGCUCGUAGGCGGCCAACUAAGUCAGACGUGAAAUCCCCGGGCUCAACCUGGGAACUGCAUUUGUGACUGCAUGGCUAGAGUACGGUAGAGGGGGAUGGAAUUCCGCGUGUAGCAGUGAAAUGCGUAGAUAUGCGGAGGAACACCGAUGGCGAAGGCAAUCCCCUGGACCUGUACUGACGCUCAUGCACGAAAGCGUGGGGAGCAAACAGG